GAUGAACGCUGGCGGCGUGCUUAACACAUGCAAGUCGAACGGAAAGGCUCCUGCUUGCAGGGGUACUCGAGUGGCGAACGGGUGAGUAACACGUGGGUAAUCUGCCCUGCACUUCGGGAUAAGCCUGGGAAACUGGGUCUAAUACCGGAUAGGACGAUGGUUUGGAUGCGAUUGUGGAGAGAUUUUUCGGUGUGGGAUGAGCUCGCGGCCUAUCAGCUUGUUGGUGGGGUAAUGGCCUACCAAGGCGUCGACGGGUAGCCGGCCUGAGAGGGUGUACGGCCACAUUGGGACUGAGAUACGGCCCAGACUCCUACGGGAGGCAGCAGUGGGGAAUAUUGCACAAUGGGCGCAAGCCUGAUGCAGCGACGCCGCGUGGGGGAUGACGGCCUUCGGGUUGUAAACUCCUUUCGCUAGGGACGAAGCGCAAGUGACGGUACCUGGAGAAGAAGCACCGGCUAACUACGUG
rnacentral:rRNA from 1 species